AUUGAACGCUGGCGGCAGGCCUAACACAUGCAAGUCGAGCGAGCGGCGGACGGGUGAGUAAUGUAUGGGGACUGCCCGAUAGAGGGGGAUAACUACUGGAAACGGUAGCUAAUACCGCCUACUAUCGUAUCACCCAUAUGGGAUUAGCUAGUAGGUGAGGUAAUGGCUAACCUAGGCGACGAUCCCUAGCUGGUCUGCGAGGAUGAUCAGCCACACAGGGACUGAGACACGGCCCAGAAUCCUACGGAGGCAGCAGGGGGGAAUGUUGGACAAUGGGGGAAACCCUGAUCCAGCAAUCCCGCGUGUAUGAGGAAGGCAUUCGGGUUGGAAAGUACUUUUGGCAGAGAAGCGGUAUCUGCAGAAUAAGCACCGGCUAACUACGUGCCAGCAGCCGAGGUAAUAC
rnacentral:rRNA from 1 species